AGUGAACGCUGGCGGUAGGCCUAACACAUGCAAGUCGAACGGCAGCACAGAGGCGCUUGCUCCUUGGGUGGCGAGUGGCGGACGGGUGAGGAAUACAUCGGAAUCUACUCUGUCGUGGGGGAUAACGUAGGGAAACUUACGCUAAUACCGCAUACGACCUACGGGUGAAAGCAGGGGAUCUUCUGACCUUGCGCGAUUGAAUGAGCCGAUGUCGGAUUAGCUAGUUGGCGGGGUAAAGGCCCACCAAGGCGACGAUCCGUAGCUGGUCUGAGAGGAUGAUCAGCCACACUGGAACUGAGACACGGUCCAGACUCCUACGGGAGGCAGCAGUGGGGAAUAUUGGACAAUGGGCGCAAGCCUGAUCCAGCCAUACCGCGUGGGUGAAGAAGGCCUUCGGGUUGUAAAGCCCUUUUGUUGGGAAAGAAAUCCAGCCGGCUAAUACCUGGUUGGGAUGACGGUACCCAAAGAAUAAGCACCGGCUAACUUCGUG
rnacentral:rRNA from 1 species